CAUGGCCCUUACGCCUAGGGCUACACACGUGCUACAAUGGGGUGCACAAAGAGAAGCAAUACUGCGAAGUGGAGCCAAUCUUCAAAACGCCUCUCAGUUCGGAUUGUAGGCUGCAACUCGCCU
rnacentral:rRNA from 1 species